GGGCGUGUAGCGCAGUGGUAGAGCGUCUGCUUCGCAUGUUCAAUGACAUCGAAUCUGCAGAAGGUCUUGGGUUCAAUCCCCAACUCGUCCA